rnacentral:ncRNA from 2 species
ACACGCUUGACGGGGUGCCGGUGGAACCGGCUGAGAUCCUGCAUGCAUGCUUCGCCGCCCUGACGCGCGAGCUUGCCAGCAAGGGGUCCCGUGGAACCUGAACCGGUUAGGACCGGCGUAGGAAUCAAGCUGAUGGCCAGC